rnacentral:misc_RNA from 1 species
AAAUUCUCAACCUUUCGGCUUUCCCAAAGUUGAUUAGGCUUGGAUGUGGGAGUUUGCGGGCUUUUUUUAAAGUCGGCUCUCCUUAAAUUCAUUAGUAGGGACCUUUGUUGCCUUAACUUUUGGUGUGUUUUGGUGAUAAUUAUCUACGCCAUUAUGUGAAGCAGCUUUAAAUUGGAGGUUACUGCUUUCUAAUCGUCUUCGGACAUUUCCUGACAAUU